AGAGUAGUAAAUUAUUUGUUAGUUGACGAUGCAAUCAGCAUGCUGAUUAAGGUUGCUUGGUUUUUUACUAAACAUUAACUGAAUGAAAACGGGUAGUCCUUGUUCUGCUUGGGGGGCUUUAAGGAAGCAAAUGGACUUUCAGAACAGAGAUUGUCAAUAAAGUGGGGUAGAGCCCAGUUUGCAACUGUGGGGCUGGACACAGGAGAAGCAGCAGCAAGAAGCAACUGAAAAGGAUUAGGAUGAACACUUCCUCAAGCUUCACAGGCUUGUUUGCUUGUCACAGAUGCCAUUAAGGUUCUGACACAACCACUUUGCUCGUGCAGAUCCUCUUUUUAAAAUUCACAGGAAAUCAGAUCAUCAGGUAUCUCUGCUGAGGAAGCUAAUUUUAGAGAGACAAUGUAUACAAAGUACUUGGCACAAAGGCCAAUGUACUAAAUGCUCCAGGAAUAUAACUACAGGCACUCCUAAUUACUGAAGGAAUAUUCUUCUUGAGCUCUGGAUGUGUCCUCAUGACACAGACCACACUGGACACCAACUCAGAUUUUGGGGGAAGGUUUCACGACCGUUAAGUGCAGACGUGCUGAUCACUGGGCCCCUUGAUACACAGCGGCUAAGCUCUCCUCUCAAGCUGGUGGGGCUGAUGCUGCCUUGAAGUGCUGAGAGAAGCCAUGACAAUUCACGGCAAGGUCUUUA
rnacentral:lncRNA from 1 species